ACGUAAUAGAUACCCAGGUAGUCCACGCCGUAAACGAUGAGUGCUAAGUGUUAGAGGGUUUCCGCCCUUUAGUGCUGAAAGUUAAACGCAUUAAGCACUCCGCCUGGGGAGUACGGCCGCAAGGCUGAAACUCAAAGGAAUUGACGGGGGCCCGCACAAGCGGUGGAGCAUGUGGUUUAAAUUCGAAGCAACGCGAAGAACCUUACCAGGUCUUGACAUCCUCUGAAAACCCUAGAGAUAGGGCUUCUCCUUCGGGAGCAGAGUGACAGGUGGUGCAUGGUUGUCGUCAGCUCGUGUCGUGAGAUGUUGGGUUAAGUCCCGCAACGAGCGCAACCCUUGAUCUUAGUUGCCAUCAUUAAGUUGGGCACUCUAAGGUGACUGCCGGUGACAAACCGGAGGAAGGUGGGGAUGACGUCAAAUCAUCAUGCCCCUUAUGACCUGGGCUACACACGUGCUACAAUGGACGGUACAAAGAGCUGCAAGACCGCGAGGUGGAGCUAAUCUCAUAAAACCGUUCUCAGUUCGGAUUGUAGGCUGC
rnacentral:rRNA from 1 species